AACAGAGACAAUUUACGGACCGUUAACAUGUGCAACUUAGAAGUAGUCAGAGGUAACUGGAUGGAGUUCAGUCAGGUUAAAUGCAAGGUUGAUUGGAUUAUAUCUGAAGAUCGUAUGCUAUUCAUGACAACUCUGCUAGACUCCAAAUUUCUCGUCCAUGAGGGAGUAUCUCAAAAGUACAUGAAACAACUAAACUUAACACUUUUCCCUAAAACGGACUGACAUGGGAAACAUUAAAGUUGGAUUGACACCAGCUAAUCAGUCUGAAGGGAUGGAAAUUGAAGAGGAACUCACAAGCCUCCUGCCGACACUAGACAGAGAGAAAAUAAUCUGCAUUGUAGAACAUCGUUAUUGGUGUACAACAAAAAAAUGGCAACAGACCAGAGAACCUGAAUGACACCAUUACUCUGGAGCCUUGCCCUGCUGCAUCAGCUGAAACAUCAAGCCAUCCACCUCACCCCUCCUCCUCC
ensembl:lncRNA